AACGAACGCUGGCGGCAUGCCUAACACAUGCAAGUCGAACGAGACCUUCGGGUCUAGUGGCGCACGGGUGCGUAACGCGUGGGAAUCUGCCCUUGGGUUCGGAAUAACAGUUGGAAACGACUGCUAAUACCGGAUGAUGACGUAAGUCCAAAGAUUUAUCGCCCAAGGAUGAGCCCGCGUAGGAUUAGCUAGUUGGUGAGGUAAAGGCUCACCAAGGCGACGAUCCUUAGCUGGUCUGAGAGGAUGAUCAGCCACACUGGGACUGAGACACGGCCCAGACUCCUACGGGAGGCAGCAGUGGGGAAUAUUGGAAAAUGGGCGAAAGACUGAUCCAGCAAUGCCGGGUGAGUGAUGAAGGCCUUAGGGUUGUAAAGCUCUUUUACCCGGGAUGAUAAUGACAGUACCGGGAGAAUAAGCACCGGCUAACUACGUG
rnacentral:rRNA from 1 species